rnacentral:lncRNA from 1 species
UGUGUUGAGUAUAUGGUGUGUUUUGGUGAAAUGUUUGGAUUAAGAAACAAUAGGUAAAAAAAUGCUUGUAAAUAAGUUCCAGAAAAUAAACGGACAAAAGCAAGAUAAAAAUGUAAAUAACAAAGCAAAUAAAAUGACUUGGUAAGUUAAAUUGUUGGAAGAUAAACGUGGAAGCAAGUAUACCUUUUUGCAGGAAUGAACUUUUUUCUCUUAGACGCUUUAUACUUUGAGUAUUU